rnacentral:rRNA from 1 species
UACGGAGGAUGCAAGCGUUAUCCGGAAUUAUUGGGCGUAAAGCGUCCGUAGGUGGCCGUUCAAGUCUGCUGUCAAAGGCUGGGGCUUAACUCCAGACAGGCAGUGGAAACUGAACAGCUAGAGUGUGGUAGGGGUAGAGGGAAUUCCCGGUGUAGCGGUGAAAUGCGUAGAGAUCGGGAAGAACACCGGUGGCGAAAGCGAGGUCCUGGACGUUUACUGACGCUGAGACGCGAAAGCUAGGGGAGCGAACGGG